rnacentral:miRNA from 1 species
CUUUUUUUUCAAGUCCCUGAUCGGGCGCCACUUGUCGCUGUUGCGCAGCGAUGGACUUGGUGCAUGAAG